CGGGACCCGAAAGAUGGUGAAACUAUGCCUGAAGAGGUUGAAGCCAGAGGAAACUCUGGUGGAGGACCGUAGCGAUUCUGACGUGCAAAUCGAUCGUCAAAUUUGGGUAUAGUGGCGAAAGACUAAUCGAACCGUCUAGUAGCUGGUUCCCUUCGAAGUUUCCCUCAGGAUAGCUGGCGCUCUGUCGCAGUUUUAUCUGGUAAAGCGAAUGAUUAGAGGUCUUGGGGGCGAAACGCCCUCAACCUAUUCUCAAACUUUAAAUUGGUAAGAAGCCCGACUCGCUCGUUUGGAGCCGGGCAUGGAAUGCGAGUGCCAAGUGGGCCACUCUUGGUAAGCAGGACUGGCGAUGCGGGAUGAACCGAACGCCGGGUUAAGGCGCCCGACGCGACGCUCAUCAGAGCCCACAAAAGGUGUUGGUUGAUAUAGACAGCAGGACGGUGGCCAUGGAAGUCGGAAACCGCUAAGGAGUGUGUAACAACUCACCUGCCGAAUCAAUCAGCCCUGAAAAUGGAUGGCGCUGGAGCGUCGGGCCUAUACCCGGCCGUCGCGGCGGUACGAGCAUCGAGUUGGUGCGCUAGGCCGCGACGAGUAGGAGGGCCGCGGCGGCGGGCGUAGAAGCCUAGGGCGCGAGCCCGGGUGGAGCAGCCGUCGGUGCAGAUCUUGGUGGUAGUAGCGAUUCCACCACAUGGAGCUU
rnacentral:ncRNA from 1 species